AGAAAAAACUCUUCUCCCAUCUUCACAUCAUCAACCAUUUUCUUCAACACCAUACCAUCAUCUUGAAACAACACCAUAUCAUAGUAAGGAAAGAAAAAGCAUAGAGUGAUGGGAUGAAAAUAUUGAAUCAAACGCAUAAUCAUCACCUUCAUCUUCAGUCAUCAUUUAACAACAUUGUCAUACCCUAAAUUUUACCCUGAGUUUUUUUUUAAUCUGCAUCAAUAUAUCACGAACAUUUCAUUUGAUCAUGCAUUUUAUCAGUUAAAAUCAUUCAUCGGGGUUUAAAUGAAAAGUCGGGAGUUCUGACAUUUUUAUAUGGUCUUGAUGACAUUCAUUCAAUUAUCUGUUGAUUUAGAAGUCAAAAGACUUUUCUUCUCAGUCUCAAUGCACCGUCUAUUCCAUUGCAUCAUGUUUCAGAGGUCCAAAGGGUGAUGGUCGAGAGUAAUGUUGUCUUCUGAAUCUUUAUAGGGUUUUGAUUAUGACUAAAAAUUAGAAAAAAAGAGUCCAAGAGUUGAUUACUUUGCAUCUGAUUAGCUAGUUACAAUUUCUCAAUAAGUAAAUUAGUGCAUUCACCAGACAUCCUGCAUUAUUUACUCAUCACAACAUGCAUUUCGUCCUAUAUAAUGUUUGAAAUGUCAAUUAGAAUAAAAUUUUGGAUAUACAAACAGACCAGUUGAAUCAAUUUUUAAAUGUACGUAGAAUUAGCGGGCAAAAAAUUUCAAAAUCGAGCUUGCAAACGUCAGUAUUAUUAAUCUACGAUCCACAUUUAACUUGGCGUGCUUGUUUUAUUUUUUUGACUACUUUUUCAGUCGCAUUUUGAUUAGCCUGAGCCAUUUUAACUGGUAAAUUUUUACAUCAAAAUUCUAUCAAAACCUGUUUUUUUUUCCAGAAGUUUAUUUCACAUUAAUCACUUUAAUGCAUUCAUUUUAAUUUUUCGAGCAUUUUUACGCCCGAUUUUUAUUCAAGUUUAAUCCUUUUAUUUUUAUUUUUUGUCAAAAUGAUCAGUGUAUUUAAUUAGGAUUAUUUGGGUAAUAAUAUUUAAUUUAUUUUGUUUGCUUUAAUUAUUUUUAUUUUUUGCAUUAAAAAUAAAUUAAGAGAAUGAAGGAAAUAACAAAAAAAUAAAAUAUCUCCCUCCCUCACCAAUAAGAGAAGAACACGUGACACCUCCUCACUCAGCUCCCACCUUAAAAAAAGAAGAUAAUUUGUUAAAAAUGAUAAAAGAGGAAAGAGUGAAAUAGAAAAGUGGAAAACACGAAUACUUGUUUUCUUCAUUUUACAUACUACAUACACAAUAAUAAAAAAAACACAACCUUGCCCUUUUUCUUCUUCAUCAAAAAUCACUUUCCAGAAGACUACAUCUUCUUCUUUUCAUCCCAUUAACUCCAUUCAUCACAAAUAAAAACCAUCUCUAUCACAACCACAAAGUACCGACAUCCACCACCAUGUAAACACCUCGAAAUCUCCAUCCAUCAACUUGCCUUCAACACAUUAAUACUCCCUCUUCAACAACAACUUGAAUCUCUUCUUCCUCCCAUAACACCCAUCUCUUCUUUAUCAACUUGUAUUCCACACUCAACAUCACAACACAAGCAUCAACAACACCAUAAUACACUUUUUUUCUCCAACCUUCUACAACACACCACCUCUUCAUUCUCACACCAUCACAACAACCAAAUAACAACACAACAUCAAACUACAACAACAGAAUGUUAAACAACAACACAAAAUUUUCACUACCACCACCAUCGAACCUCUUCUCCUUCACUCACUUUUCUAACAUAACCUAUAACUCUCUCAGUUUUAUCCCUGUUGCAUCACCUCAAGCUCCAAAUUGCCGCCAAGGUUGUUAUUGUGUUCUAUUUUUGUCAGAUUUUAUUGUUGCCUUAUUUAUGUUUUUAUUUGUUGGUUUUUUUGUAACAAUGGAGAACGAGUGAGAGAGCAGAGAUAAUGGGUUAAAAAUGAGAGGGACGAAUGAGUAUGAAGCGGCGUCGUCGCC
rnacentral:lncRNA from 1 species